CCUACGGGAGGCAGCAGUGGGGAAUAUUGGGCAAUGGGCGCAAGCCUGACCCAGCAACGCCGCGUGAAGGAAGAAGGCUUUCGGGUUGUAAACUUCUUUUGUCAGGGACGAAGCAAGUGACGGUACCUGACGAAUAAGCCACGGCUCACUACGUGACAGCAGCCGCGGUAAUACGUAGGUGGCAAGCGUUAUCCGGAUUUACUGGGUGUAAAGGGCGUGUAGGCGGGGAAGCAAGUCAGAUGUGAAAACCACGGGCUCAACCUGUGGCCUGCAUUUGAAACUGUUUUUCUUGAGUACUGGAGAGGCAGACGGAAUUCCUAGUGUAGCGGUGAAAUGCGUAGAUAUUAGGAGGAACACCAGUGGCGAAGGCGGUCUGCUGGACAGCAACUGACGCUGAGGCGCGAAAGCGUGGGGAGCAAACAGGAUUAGAUACCCCGGUAGUC
rnacentral:rRNA from 1 species